rnacentral:sRNA from 1 species
GCCGGGCGCGGUGGCUCACGCCUGUAAUCCCAGCACUUUGGGAGGCCGAGGCGGGCGGAUCACUUGAGGCCAGGAAUUCGAGACCAGCCUGGCCAAUAUGGUGAAACCCCGUCUCUA